AGUGAACGCUGGCGGUAGGCCUAACACAUGCCAGUCGAACGGCAGCACAGUAAGAGCUUGCUCUUACGGGUGGCGAGUGGCGGACGGGUGAGGAAUACAUCGGAAUCUACUUUUUCGUGGGGGAUAACGUAGGGAAACUUACGCUAAUACCGCAUACGACCUACGGGUGAAAGCAGGGGAUCUUCGGACCUUGCGCGAUUGAAUGAGCCGAUGUCGGAUUAGCUAGUUGGCGGGGUAAAGGCCCACCAAGGCGACGAUCCGUAGCUGGUCUGAGAGGAUGAUCAGCCACAAUGGAACUGCGGCACGGUCCAGACUCCUACGGGAGGCAGCAGUGGGGAAUAUUGGACCAUGGGCGGAAGCCUGAUCCAGCCAUACCGCGUGGGUGGAGAAGGCCUUCGGGUUGUAAAGCCCUUUUGUUGGGAAAGAAAAGCAGCAGGUUAAUACCCCGCUGUUCUGACGGUACCCAAAGAAUAAGCACCGGCUAACUUCGUG
rnacentral:rRNA from 1 species